CAUCUCCAUCUCUCUCCCCCCUCACCACUCCUUCUCCACCUCCGGCCGCCUCCACGGCCCGGCCGGCGUGGUGGUGCGCCUCCGCAGCCCAUCCACCCACCAGCACCAACACCCAGUGCCACCAUCACCUCCUGCCGCUAGCGCCACCAGCUCCACUUCGCCGCCGCACCUCACCAGGACCACCAAUCAAAUCCCUCUCCCACCAUCAGCACCACCAGCGCCUCCACCGCACCUCCAGCCCACGCCGGCGUGCCUGACCAGACGAGGGCGAGGCAGUGUCUGGUGCUCCGCGCGACAACCCUUUGCUCUCUUCUCUCCUCUUCUCCACUCAAUUCUUCCUCUUUGCUACUGCUACUACUCUCCAUCCCCCUUUCUAUCUCCCUUCGUCCCCCACGGCCCUGCUGCUCUUCUCAAUCUAUGGUCCUUGCCUCUGCUUCGCUGAACCUUCUGCUGAUCCCCUUGCCCCGCUGCUCUCUCAACCCUCCACACUGCUGCUGCUCUUUAUCCCCAUGCUACUGCUGCUCAUCUCCAGCGCCUCCUGCUGCUGCUCUAUCUCCAGCGCCCCUUUUUGCUUCUCCUCUUGCUGCUGCUGCUGCCGCCCUCAACUUCCUCCUGCUAUCUCUCUCUACUUCCCCUGCUACACUUCCGCUAACCUACCUACUGCUAUCUCUCUCUCUGAAAUAACUUGAGACAUAUAUGAUGUGUAACAUUCAGAUUUGUUAAGUGUUAGUAACCUACUUGUUCAGUUUUAGACUUAUGCUUUAUUUGUGGAUGUGUGAACUGGAUCGUGGCAUGUAUCACUCAGUUUGUAUGCUCAAUAAUUAGCUAUAUAUAUCCCCUAUGUGUUGUACUUGCCGUCGUAAUUUUCAGUUUGUAAUACAUGUGUGAUAUAUAUAAUUAUGUGGUGUUAAACAUUUCUGUCCUUGUCCCAUUAUCUUUGUUCUGUGCUUUUCUUCUUAUAUAUAACUAAUAGUUUUAUUGGUGAUCAUAUAUUGGUACUUCCUUUCUGUCGAUGAUGAUGUCCCGUUUGCAUAUUUUAGUUUCUAAAAUAAUAUGAAAAUACCAAAAAGAUAAAGCGAAGAUAAUCUUCAUCUCCCUUUGCUUCUAUGUCAUUUCCUUUGUUGAUGCUCUUAGUUAGUCUAGAUUUAAUAUUGUGCUUUCACCACCCAAUAUCAUGUUACCUAGCUUUAGCAGAGCAUAGUUGCCGUCUCCUAGUCCCUGUGGAGAACACGACUUCCGUAGUUUGUGGCGUAAAAACCCCGCUAUACUUACAAUCGACCAUUUUGGCGCCGUUGCCGGGGACUAGCAUCGUGUGACUGUGUUAGGCUAUAGACUAGGUUUUUAUUCUUUUUCUAGUUUGUGCCAUAUAUUUGUGAUAUAUCUCUAACCACUAACCCAUGUUCUAGUUAGUAUCUUUUUUGUUUUCUUUUCCUUUUUGCAGGUUAGAACUAUCUUCUCGGUUAUGGCUUACUAUUCAGAUCAUCAGGCUUAUGCGAGCAACACUACAAACAGCAUGGAAAGUGUUCAAGAACUGAUAGGUAAGAUUUACCAUCGAUUAGAUGAUUUAGCUCGGCAGCGAGAAGGAGUUUUUGAGGAUAGGCCUAGUUCUUACGAUCCUUAUUCCAGAGGACAUCCUUAUGUUGCUCCUACUUGCCAUAUUUGUGGAUUUCAGGGCCAUUCGCCCGCUGAAUGUCAGCGUGGUUACUCCCAUCUUCCCGAUUGUUAUGGCAUGAACUUCGCCCCAUAGCCUAGCUCAUACCAAAACAAUUACACACAUGGGUGGACUGAAAACCAGAAUAUGUCAUAUAGGAGCAAUAACCCUGAGAUCUCAUCAUUUGCCUCUAGUUAUCCAAUGCAGGGAUUUAGGUAUGAAGAGGAGAGCCACAACUAUGCUCCACAACAGAUUUAUUCAGCUCCUAGUCAUAUACCUCAACACCAGGACAUGUUGCCAAUGGAGUUAAAUGGUCCUCCAUUUGGUCAACCAACACCUUCAACACAAGUGCCCACACAAGAUGACUUUGAUGAUAUAGACAAGCUCACAUUGCUUAGUCUUGAGUUCACUUGGAGUGCCGAGGAUGAUCCUAUUAGGAAGGUUAUUCUAGAGGAAAUGAAGAAGAUCGAGAGUGGAAAAGAGCUAGUGGAAGAAGUAAGGAAUAUUGAGAAGAACAUCAACGCUGGCAACACUAUUUCUUCACAACUUGAGUUGAGUGUGGGUGAGAUAUCCAUGGAUACAUGUGAGGUUCCAACACCUUCACAUUUCGUUGAGCAAGAUAGCAAGUGCCUUGAGCAAGAGAUACCUCAGAUUGAAUAAGAUGAACUAGAAGACAAGGAACAAGAUGGUCAAGAGCUGCAAUUCCCAAGUGAUCAAGUUGAAGACUCAUCAUCUACUACUCCUGAAGAAGUACAAGAAGCUGCUGUAGAUGAAGAUGAAGAACCUAAGAUUCAUUGGCCUAUUAUCAUACAUGAGCAUGAUGUGUCAGGUUCGAGGUGACAUUCCUUGGGAUCCUGGUGGAGUCAGAGCAUGGCGAUGAGGAGAAGCAAUGGGGCACACAUAUGGAAGAGUGAAGCUGGAGCAUCCAUGAGGAAGCAAGGGAGAAGAGCUGCAGCUGGUGAGGUGAUCGAGCGAGUGCUACAUGAUCAAAGCCCGGUGAGAUGUUUCAUGAUCCAUUCUGAAUAUCAUAAAUACAUGCUGAAAUCAAAUGUUAUUUGGGUUGCUUAAGCCAUGCCUUAAAUGUUGCCCCACUGAAUUUUAUUUGACAUAUGGUGCUUGAUGUGAAUAUGUGAAGUGAGUGUUGAAUGCCUUGUAACCUAGUAAUCUACACAAUGCUUGCUUUGCCGAAAUUAGUGAAAGCUAUUAGUUUUGAGUGCUCAAAUCCCUAGUACACUAGAAAACCUAAUCAUUUUCUGCUUUUACCUUGAUACACCUAGAUCAUUAAGUGUCAGAUGCUGAGUUUGUGCCUAAUGUGUUCCCAUUGAGAGCAAUCACCUAACAAUUAUGGAUUAGCAUGCUAUGUUCCCUGGAUCGGUAGCAUGUGAACCAGACAUGGAGAAGUGAUGAUUCCUAUUUUUGUGCUUAUGUGUUGUUCAUUUAAGAUAAGUAAUAAUGAAUAAAUAAGUCCGGCUACCUACAGUACCAUGUCAUGUUCCCGGGAUCGGUGGCAUGUGAAAUCCGGUAGCUUGGACAGUAAUAAAUAAAUAAAAAUGUAAUUGUCAAACCAGGUGUAUACCAUGUUCUCGGGAUCGGUGGUAUGUUCCUUUGGGGAGACAAACAAAAAACUAAUAAUUGGUCGAGCCAGGUGUAUACCAUGUUCUCGGGAUCGGUGGUAUGUUCCUAUGGUGAGACUAAUAAUAAUAUAAUCAUUGCUUUAUCUCUGUAAAUAAGUGAUUUGAUCACAAGAUUUAAUUCCAGUUCAUUUUGUUCUUGGGAUCAUGCUCUCUUUAGGAACCAUUUGGCACAGUCAUCAUUUAAACUUGUUGAUCCUCUUUUAUCAUUGUAAAAGUUUAAAAUGGUCAUGCUUACUAGUAUUCUAUUGCUCUGUAGCACUCUUAACCAUUAAUUUUCAUUAGCUAAGUCCAAAGCAUGUUUUGUUUGGAGAUCUACUUCACUGGGACAUUCUCCAGUCAGCUCACUGUUCAUUAUCUAGCUCUUGUCAUAUUCCUUUGCUUGAGGACAAGCAAAAGUUUAACUGUGGAGGAACUUGAUAAGCACAUUUCUUAUAUACUAUUUUGGCACACAAACACACCAUUUAUUGUGAUCCAACAAUCCAUUCUUGUUAUGAACUAUGAUAUAUUUGAAUGAAAAUCAUAUAAAAGAUCAUUUACUUGUCAUUUGAUUAUUUUGCAGAAAAGUGCGCAAAGGCACUAUAAACUUCAAGAUUUGGACAAAUUGGCUAUUGAGAAGAGCGAAGGGCAGGAAAGAAGCGAAGAAAGGGACUUGAGCGAGAAGAAUUGAAGUAAUCAAGGGGCCACGCUAUGGAUGGCAGGACCAACUUGGGAAGAAAGAAGAGAAAUAGCAAGGCCAAAUUGUAAAGUGGCAGAACAGGGGAGGGGAUCAAAAUCUCUAGCGCAGCCUCAAUUCCCUUCGGGCCUGGCCACAUCUCCAUCUCUCCCCCCCUCACCACUCCUUCACCACCUCCGGCCGCCGCCACGGCCAGGCCGGCGUGGUGGUGCGCCUCCGCAGCCCAUCCACCCACCAGCACCAACACCCAGCGCCACCAUCACCUCCUGCCGCCAGCGCCACCAGCUCCACUUCGCCGCCGCACCUCACCAGCACCACCAUCCAUCCAAUCCCUCUCCCACCAUCAGCACCACCAGCGCCUCCACCGCACCUCCACCCUACACCGGCGUGCCUGACCAGACGAGGGCGAGGCAGUGUCUGGUGCUCCGUGCGACAACCCUCUGCUCUCUACUCUCCUCUUCUCCACUCAAUUCUUCCUCUUUGCUACUGCUACUACUCUCCAUCCCCCUUGCUAUCUCCCUUCGUCCCCCACGGCCCUGCUGCUCUUCUUAAUCUCUAGUACUUGCCUCUGCUUCGCUGAACCUGCUGCUGAUCCCCUUGCCCCGCUGCUCUCUCAACCCUCCACACUGCUGCUGCUCUUUAUCCCCAUGCUAAUGCUGCUCAUCUCCAGCGCCUCCUCCUGCUGCUCUAUCUCCAGCGCCCCUUUUUGCUUCUCCUCUUGCUGCUGCUGCCGCGGCCCUCAACCUCCUGCUGCUAUCUCUCUCUACUUCCCCUGCUACACUUCCCUUAACCUACCUACUGCUAUCUCUCUCUCUGAAAUAACUUGAGACAUAUAUGAUGUGUAACAUUCAGAUUUGUUAAGUGUUAGUAACCUACUUGUUUAGUUUCAGACUUAUGCUUUAUUUGUGGAUGUGUGAACUGGAUUGUGGCAUGUAUCACUCAGUUUGUAUGCUCAAUAAUUAGCUAUAUAUAUCCCCUGUGUGUUGUAGUUGCCGUAGUAAUUUUCAGUUUGUAAUACCUGUGUGAUAUAUAUAAUUCUGUGGUGUUAAACAUUUC